GUAGGUCUGGUUCAUACGGGACGGUCGACCGUUCUCAGCGCUCGACGAGGCCGGUGAAGUCGCGCUCGUUGCGCUCGGCGCGCCGGACGUACC
rnacentral:tRNA from 1 species